rnacentral:tRNA from 1 species
GGAGAGGUGCCGGAGUGGUCGAACGGGGCGGUCUCGAAAACCGUUGACCCUUCACGGGGUCCGAGGGUUCGAAUCCCUCUCUCUCCGCCA